GUAGCUCAGUUGGCAGAGCAUCCGACUGUUAAUCGGACGGUCGCUGGUUCAAGCC
rnacentral:tRNA from 1 species